GUUGAGAAAGGCUGCACAGACAAAUGGCGGAUCUGAGAGGCCCCCCCUCCCCCCUGAAUUUUUUCUUCUUCACACCCUCACGCCAAAAGCUAUAGAUCCCUCGUUUUGUUUUUUGCUUCAUCUCCGGCGAGUCAAUGCAAAAAAUCUGGCCAGUCAUCGGACCCCUUAUGAAUCCUUAGAGCUCGAAGUUUACUUUAUUGGCAAACCAGUGGUUUUUCCAGCAACUCAUUCGACCUUUUCUUUGGAUUUCAAGCUUCUUUGCGUUUCAGCCUUGCUCCUCCAUUUGAUUUCCAUUUGAAGUUCGAGUCUGCCGACGAGAACGUUUCUGUGCUUCAUUUGCUUCCGAAUUUUGGCUUUUGAGUGUGGUAAUGGAGUUAAGUCAAGGAUGAUUCCGGUUCAAGUUUCCGGGGAGGUUCGACUUGAGACCGUUGUUCUUCGUUUCCGGUUUGAGGUUCGAGUUUCAAUUUUUUCAUAUACAUGUUUUUGAGUCAAUUUAGUGUUUGAUUGCAUUUGGAUGUUAGAUGUUGUUGUUGUUCAUGUCAUAGUAGAAUGUUUGAAAUA